rfam:Heligmosomoides polygyrus genome assembly, scaffold: HPBE_scaffold0004087
GCAUCGGUGGUUCAGUGGUAGAAUGCUCGUCUGCCACACGGUCGGGACGGGUUCGAUUCCCGGCAUAUGCA